rnacentral:rRNA from 1 species
GAUGAACGCUGGCGGCGUGCCUAAUACAUGCAAGUCGAGCGAACAGACGAGGAGCUUGCUCCUUUGACGUUAGCGGCGGACGGGUGAGUAACACGUGGAUAACCUACCUAUAAGACUGGGAUAACUUCGGGAAACCGGAGCUAAUACCGGAUAACAUGUUGAACCGCAUGGUUCAACAGUGAAAGACGGUCUUGCUGUCACUUAUAGAUGGAUCCGCGCCGCAUUAGCUAGUUGGUAAGGUAACGGCUUACCAAGGCAACGAUGCGUAGCCGACCUGAGAGGGUGAUCGGCCACACUGGAACUGGGACACGGUCCAGACGCCUGCGGGAGGCAGCAGUAGGGAAUCUUCCGCAAUGGGCGAAAGCCUGACGGAGCAACGCCGCGUGAGUGAAGAAGGUCUUCGGAUCGUAAAACUCUGUUAUUAGGGAAGAACAAAUGUGUAAGUAACUAUGCACGGCUUGACGGUACCUAAUCAGAAAGCCACGGCUAACUACGUG